rnacentral:rRNA from 1 species
GACGAACGCUGGCGGCGUGCCUAAUACAUGCAAGUUGAGCGCUGAAGGUUGGUACUUGUACCAACUGGAUGAGCAGCGAACGGGUGAGUAACGCGUGGGGAAUCUGCCUUUGAGCGGGGGACAACAUUUGGAAACGAAUGCUAAUACCGCAUAAAAACUUUAAACACAAGUUUUAAGUUUGAAAGAUGCAAUUGCAUCACUCAAAGAUGAUCCCGCGUUGUAUUAGCUAGUUGGUGAGGUAAAGGCUCACCAAGGCGAUGAUACAUAGCCGACCUGAGAGGGUGAUCGGCCAGAUUGGGACUGAGACACGGCCCAAACUCCUACGGGAGGCAGCAGUAGGGAAUCUUCGGCAAUGGACGAAAGUCUGACCGAGCAACGCCGCGUGAGUGAAGAAGGUUUUCGGAUCGUAAAACUCUGUUGGUAGAGAAGAACGUUGGUGAGAGUGGAAAGCUCAUAAAGUGACGGUAACUACCCAGAAAGGGACGGCUAACUACGUG